UACGGGGGGGAGCAAGCGUUAUUCGGAUUUACUGGGCGUAAAGGGCGCGUAGGCGGCGUGACAAGUCACUUGUGAAAUCUCCGGGCUUAACUCGGAACGGUCAAGUGAUACUGUCGUGCUAGAGUACAGAAGGGGCAACUGGAAUUCUCGGUGUAGCGGUGAAAUGCGUAGAUAUCGAGAGGAACACCGGUGGCGAAGGCGACAUCCUGGACCGGUAUUGACGCUGAGGCGCGAAAGCCAGGGGAGCAAACGGG
rnacentral:rRNA from 1 species